rnacentral:tRNA from 1 species
AGCCCCGGGGUGUCAUCACAUCAGAUUGCAAAUCUGAAGAAGCAGGCUAAACAUCUGCCGGGGCUU